rnacentral:rRNA from 1 species
CCUACGGGUGGCAGCAGUGAGGAAUAUUGGUCAAUGGACGAGAGUCUGAACCAGCCAAGUAGCGUGAAGGAUGACUGCCCUAUGGGUUGUAAACUUCUUUUAUAUGGGAAUAAAAUGGUCCACGUGUGGGAUUUUGUAUGUACCAUAUGAAUAAGGAUCGGCUAACUCCGUGCCAGCAGCCGCGGUAAUACGGAGGAUCCGAGCGUUAUCCGGAUUUAUUGGGUUUAAAGGGAGCGUAGGUGGAUUGUUAAGUCAGUUGUGAAAGUUGGCGGCUCAACCGUAAAAUUGCAGUUGAAACUGGCAGUCUUGAGUACAGUAGAGGUGGGCGGAAUUCGUGGUGUAGCGGUGAAAUGCUUAGAUAUCACGAAGAACUCCGAUUGCGAAGGCAGUUCACUGGACUGCAACUGACACUGAGGCUCGAAAGUGUGGGUAUCAAACAGGAUUAGAUACCCUUGUAGUC